rnacentral:tRNA from 1 species
AGUAAGGUCAGCUAACUAAGCUAUCGGGCCCAUACCCCGAAAAUGAAGGUUCGACUCCCUCCCCUACUA